GUGACUAUUCUCAGAACUAAGAUAAGAUAAUCAUUUAUCAACUGCUUUCCUAUAUUAGUCAUAUCUUCUUAGCCAGUGUAAGGUGCACAAUGGUCUGACUCAGAUUCCAGGGGUCUAGUCUGAGACAGAUACCAGAUGCUGUAAUAAAAGAUGUGAAAUGAUGCAACAGAACUUCUAUAAUUGGCAGGAGCAGAAGAAUGGCAUCAAGUUUUAUGUUAAGUUAUUUAAACUUACUAGCAGCUAUCCUGCUGUCAGUCACUGGAGGUUUGGCUGAAACUGUGCGAUGUCCACGGUACUGUGUUUGCUAUCUCAACACCACCAACUACAUGAGGAGUGUGUCCUGUGUGGCCAGGAGGCUAGACAACAUAGAUUUGUCUGUUCCAAGACGGGUACAAAGCUUGGAUUUGUCAAACAACUCCAUCUCUGUUCUCGAAGAUAGAGGGUUUCAAAACCUUGGACUGAUUGAAAUUGUAAGACUGGUCAUGCGACACAACUCACUUCGCACAAUUGGACUGCACAGUUUUACAGGAUUGACGUACUUGCACUCAGUUGACUUAGCGGCAAAUAACUUAUACCAGAUCCUUCCAUGGACUUUUCAUGAAAACAGUAAUUUGAAGUUUGUCAGUCUUUCUGGUAACCCGUUGGGUCAUGUUGUGUCUUCUGGACCAUUCCUUGACGUUCCAUCCUUGGAGGUAAGUAGAGCGAACUUGUGCACAACGGUAGU